rnacentral:tRNA from 1 species
GCCCAUGUGGAUCAGUGGUGAGAGCGUUGGCCUGCGGACUGAAGGGUCCAGGGUUCAAUUCCUGGUCAAGGGCA